UACGUAGGGUGCGAGCGUUGUCCGGAAUUAUUGGGCGUAAAGAGCUCGUAGGCGGUUUGUUGCGUCGGCUGUGAAAUCCCGAGGCUCAACCUCGGGUCUGCAGUCGAUACGAGCAAACUAGAGUGUUGCAGGGGAGACUGGAAUUCCUGGUGUAGCGGUGAAAUGCGCAGAUAUCAGGAGGAACACCGGUGGCGAAAGGCGGGUCUCUGGGGCAACAACUGACGCUGGAGGAGCGAAAAGCGUGGGGAGCGAACAGG
rnacentral:rRNA from 1 species